CCUACGGGCGGCAGCAGUGGGGAAUAUUGGACAAUGGGGGAAACCCUGAUCCAGCGACGCCGCGUGAGUGAAGAAGUAUUUCGGUAUUUAAAGCUCUAUCAGUAGGAAAGAAAAUGACGGUACCUGACUAAGUAUCCCCGGCUAACUACGUGCCAGCAGCCGCGGUAAUACGUAGGGGGCAAGCGUUAUCCGGAUUUACUGGGUGUAAAGGGAGCGUAGACGGCAGCAUAAGUCUGAAGUGAAAUGCCGGGGCUUAACCCCGGAACUGCUUUGGAAACUGUGCAGCUAGAGUGCAGGAGAGGUAGGUGGAAUUCAUGGUGUAGCGGUGAAAUGCGUAGAUAUUAGGAGGAACACCGGUUGCGAAGGCGGCUUACUAGACUAUAACUGACGUUGAGGCUCGAAAGCGUGGGGAGCAAACAGGAUUAGAUACCCUAGUAGUC
rnacentral:rRNA from 1 species